rnacentral:rRNA from 1 species
UGAGUUUGAUUCUGGCUCAGGAUGAACGCUGGCGGCGUGCCUAACACAUGCAAGUCGAGCGAGAAGCUUACGAAGGAUCCUUCGGGUGACUGAAUAAGUGGAAAGCGGCGGACGGGUGAGUAACGCGUGGGUAACCUGCCCCAUACAAAGGGAUAGCCACUGGAAACGGUGAUUAAUACCAUAUAACACCAUAGUGUCGCAUGACACAUUGGUCAAAGAUUUAUCGGUAUGGGAUGGACCCGCGUCUGAUUAGCUAGUUGGUAAGGUAAUGGCUUACCAAGGCGACGAUCAGUAGCCGACCUGAGANNGUGAUCGGCCACACUGGAACUGAGACACGGUCCAGNCUCCUACGGGAGGCAGCAGUGGGGAAUAUUGCACAAUGGGCGCAAGCCUGAUGCAGCAACGCCGCGUGAGCGAUG